rnacentral:misc_RNA from 1 species
UGGCUCUCGCAUCGAUGAAGAACGCAGCGAAAUGCGAUAAGUAAUGUGAAUUGCAGGAUUCAGUGAAUCAUCGAAUCUUUGAACGCACCUUGCGCCCCUUGGCUAUUCCGAGGGGCAUGCCUGUUCGAGCGUCAUUAUAACCACUCAAGCCCUCGGCUUGGUCUUGGGGUUCGCGGUUUCGCGGCCCUUAAAAUCAGUGGCGGUGCCGUCUGGCUCUAAGCGUAGUAAUCCUCUCGCUAUAGGGUCCAGGUAACCACCUGCCAGAACCCCCCAUUCUUUAUGGUUGACCUCGGAUCAGGUAGGGAUACCCGCUGA